rnacentral:piRNA from 1 species
AUCAUACACUUUUGACAUAGUUAUGUUU